rnacentral:rRNA from 1 species
UCGUUAACGAACGAGACCUCGACCUGCUAAAUAGUUCGACAAAGGUUCUCCUUUGGACGUGACUUCUUAGAGGGACUAUCGGUGUGUAGCCGACGGAAGUUCGAGGCAAUAACAGGUCUGUGAUGCCCUUCGAUGUUCUGGGCCGCACGCGCGCUACACUGAUGCAUUCAUCGAGUUUACAACCUUGACCGAUAGGUCUGGGUAAUCUUUGCAACAUGCAUCGUGCUGGGGAUAGAUCAUUGUAAUUAUUGAUCUUCAACGAGGAAUUCCUAGUAAACGCAAGUCAUCAACUUGCAUUGAUUACGUCCCUGCCCUUUGUACACACCGCCCGUCGCUAAUACCGAUUGAAUGGAUA